rnacentral:tRNA from 1 species
AGGGACAUAGUUCAGUGGUAGAGUGCUUGCCUAGCAUGUGAGAGGCCCUGGGUUCAAUCCCCAGCAUCACCA